GACGAACGCUGGCGGCGUGCUUAAUACAUGCAAGUCGAACGGAAAAGCACUGGCUUUCUGGGGUGUGUUAGUGGCGAACGGGUGAGUAACACGUGGGUAACCUGCCUUUGAGAUUGGGAUAACUUCGGGAAACCGGGGCUAAUACCGGAUAGGAGUUUCUGCUGCAUGGUCGGGGUUUGAAAGUUUGUUUGGGUUGGGAUGGACAGAUGGCUCAUCAGCUCAUUGGCUAGGUAGUGGCUUACCAAGUCUUUGACGGAUAGCCGGCAAGAGUGGGUGACCGGCCACAUUGGGACUGAGAUACGGCCCAGACUCCUACGUGAGGCAGCAGUGGGGAAUAUUGCACAAUGGGCGGAAGCCUGAUGCAGCAACGCCGCGUGCGGGAAGACGUCCUUCGGGUUGUAAACCGCUUUCGCCUGUGACGAAGCGUGAGUGACGGUAAUGAGUAAAGAAGCACCGGCUAACUACGUG
rnacentral:rRNA from 1 species